UACGUAGGGGGCAAGCGUUGUCCGGAAUCAUUGGGCGUAAAGCGCGUGUAGGCGGACUGGAAGGUCUGGUGUGAAAGCCCGGGGCUCAACCCCGGAGGGUCACUGGAAACCGACAGUCUCGAGUCCGGAAGAGGAGAGUGGAAUUCCUGGUGUAGCGGUGGAAUGCGCAGAUAUCAGGAGGAACACCUAUGGCGAAGGCAGCUCUCUGGUACGUGACUGACGCUGAGACGCGAAAAGCGUGGGGAGCGAACAGG
rnacentral:rRNA from 1 species